UACGUAGGUGGCGAGCGUUGUCCGGAUUUACUGGGCGUAAAGGGAGCGUAGGCGGACUUUUAAGUGAGAUGUGAAAUACUCGGGCUCAACUUGAGUGCUGCAUUUCAAACUGGAAGUCUAGAGUGCAGGAGAGGAGAAUGGAAUUCCUAGUGUAGCGGUGAAAUGCGUAGAGAUUAGGAGGAACACCAGUGGCGAAGGCGAUUCUCUGGACUGUAACUGACGCUGAGGCUCGAAAGCGUGGGGAGCAAACAGG
rnacentral:rRNA from 1 species